CCUACGGGUGGCUGCAGUGGGGAAUUUUGGACAAUGGGGGAAACCCUGAUCCAGCCAUGCCGCGUGAGUGAAGAAGGCCUUCGGGUUGUAAAGCUCUUUCGUACGGAACGAAAUUGCCUGGACUAAUACUCUGGGUAGAUGACGGUACUGUAAGAAGAAGCACCGGCUAACUACGUGCCAGCAGCCGCGGUAAUACGUAGGGUGCGAGCGUUAAUCGGAAUUACUGAGCGGAAAGCCUGCGCAAGCGGUUAAAUCCCCGGGCUUAACCUGGGAAUUGCGCUUGGGACUGGGCGGCUAGAGUACGGCAGAGGGAGGUGGAAUUCCACGUGUAGCAGUGAAAUGCGUAGAGAUGUGGAGGAACACCGAUGGCGAAGGCAGCCUCCUGGGCCAGUACUGACGCUCAUGCACGAAAGCGUGGGGAGCAAACAGGAUUAGAUACCCUAGUAGUC
rnacentral:rRNA from 1 species